rnacentral:lncRNA from 1 species
UGCAUUUAAAUAAUAUUAAAGUUGACCAUUACAAGUCUUGGAAUAAAAAGGUUUAUAGUACAUAGAGUUUUUCCAGAAAAAUAGAAAUUAAAGUGCAACUAUGAUAAGACUAAGUCCUUCCAUGAAGCUUUACGCAUAACACCAUUAUCCUCAGCCCCUUCCAUGUGCCUCAUGACCAUCAUCCUGCAAAUUCAUAGGAAUACACCAUGAUCAUCUAAUACACAUAGCAUGAACAUGACCAUUCAUGCAAAGUUAGCAACAUCAUCAUGUACACAGUUAACAUACAUAAAAAGAGAAAUCAAAGGAAAUGAUUCAAGUAGCAGCAAAACAUAUAUCAUAAGCAUACACCUACAUAUAAUAUUGAGACGAGCUCACCAUCAUCACCAUACAACUUUGGGAACCACACAAAAUUGCAAAAACAGUCACAUGGCAAUGACGUACACACAAUCAAUUCAGUCACCACAAAACUCCCACAAAAUUUGUAAUUUAGAAGAAUUUCACUAACGGAUUGAUUUGCAGAAAUAUCACAGCUCAUCAUUUGCAACAAAUUACCACACGAGUAAACAAAGUUUCUAACAAAUUUCACACUUACCAUAUCCCAAAUCCUUUCCCUAUAAAUUGGAGACACUACCCCAUUCCCAACACAGAAAAUUCAUAAUGAAACACUGCAGUAUUUUUCCCAUAAACCACACUAAAGCUCUAUUAACAUCUUAUUUCAACUCUCAAAUUCAGAGUUUGAAUAACUAUACCCCCAUCCCCAAACGCAACAGUACACAACAUCAAGAAAGAGUAGAAGAAGGAGAAGUAAAAAGCAAAGAGUAUUGAGAAUGAAAAUGUACCUACAUUUUUCCUGAGCUUGAACGUCAGACUAGC